rnacentral:rRNA from 1 species
UACGUAGGGAGCAAGCGUUGUCCGGAAUCAUUGGGCGUAAAGCGCGCGUAGGUGGCCUCAUAAGUCCGCUGUGAAAGUCCAAGGCUCAACCUUGGAAAGCCGGUGGAUACUGUGAGGCUAGAGUACGGAAGAGGCGAGUGGAAUUCCUGGUGUAGCGGUGGAAUGCGCAGAUAUCAGGAGGAACACCAAUAGCGAAGGCAGCUCGCUGGGACGGUACUGACGCUGAGACGCGAAAGCGUGGGGAGCAAACAGG